rnacentral:rRNA from 1 species
UCAGACGAUGCGUCAUGCAUAUCAAUAAGCGGAGGAAAAGAAACUAACAAGGAUUCCCCUAGUAACGGCGAGUGAAGCGGGAAGAGCUCAAAUUUGAAAUCUUAAAGGGUUUCCCUUUACGAAUUGUAGUUUAAAGAAGUGUUUUCUGUUGAGGUUUUGGUAAAGUUCUUUGGAAUAGGACAUCAUAGAGGGUGAGAAUCCCGUAUUUGACCUUUACUUUCAACUUUGUGAUACACUUUCAAAGAGUCGGAUUGUUUGGGAAUGCAGUCCAAAAUGGGUGGUAAAUUUCAUCUAAAGCUAAAUAUUGGCGAGAGACCGAUAGCGAACAAGUACCGUGAGGGAAAGAUGAAAAGAACUUUGAAAAGAGAGUUAAACAGUACGUGAAAUUGUCAAAAGGGAAGCGUUUGACACCAGUGUUGUUUUUCUGAAAAUCAAUUAAAGAACUGUUUAUGCUAAGUUGUUUAGACUUUAUCAGCUAACUGUUUAGUUUUGAGCUUUUCUUCAAUGCACUUUUCAGUUAACAAGUCAACAUCAAUUUCUUUUGCUGUAAAAAAGCUUGAGGAAGGUGGCUUGAGAUUCGUCUUAAGUGUUUAUAGCCUCUUGCCUAUGCAGUCGGAGAGAUUGAGGUCUGCAGCGUAGAUCCUUCGGGGCUAAAUGCAUUUGUGCUAAGUUAUAGCAUUUUAUAGACAACUUGUUGACUAUGAUUUGCCUUGUAGCUUACUCGCUUAUGUUAUUUUACCUACGCUUAGGAUGUUGAGCGCAUGUCUCUCUCU